rnacentral:rRNA from 1 species
GGUUAAGCGACUAAGCGUACACGGUGGAUGCCCUGGCAGUCAGAGGCGAUGAAGGACGUGCUAAUCUGCGAUAAGCGUCGGUGAGGUGAUAUGAACCGUUAUAACCGGCGAUUUCCGAAUGGGGAAACCCAGUGUGUUUCGACACACUAUCAUUAACUGAAUCCAUAGGUUAAUGAGGCGAACCGGGGGAACUGAAACAUCUAAGUACCCCGAGGAAAAGAAAUCAACCGAGAUUCCCCCAGUAGCGGCGAGCGAACGGGGAGGAGCCCAGAGCCUGAAUCAGUGUGUGUGUUAGUGGAAGCGUCUGGAAAGGCGUGCGAUACAGGGUGACAGCCCCGUACACAAAAAUGCACAUAUUGUGAGCUCGAUGAGUAGGGCGGGACACGUGGUAUCCUGUCUGAAUAUGGGGGGACCAUCCUCCAAGGCUAAAUACUCCUGACUGACCGAUAGUGAACCAGUACCGUGAGGGAAAGGCGAAAAGAACCCCGGCGAGGGGAGUGAAAAAGAACCUGAAACCGUGUACGUACAAGCAGUGGGAGCCUCUUAAUGGGGUGACUGCGUACCUUUUGUAUAAUGGGUCAGCGACUUAUAUUCUGUAGCAAGGUUAACCGAAUAGGGGAGCCGAAGGGAAACCGAGUCUUAACUGGGCGUUAAGUUGCAGGGUAUAGACCCGAAACCCGGUGAUCUAGCCAUGGGCAGGUUGAAGGUUGGGUAACACUAACUGGAGGACCGAACCGACUAAUGUUGAAAAAUUAGCGGAUGACUUGUGGCUGGGGGUGAAAGGCCAAUCAAACCGGGAGAUAGCUGGUUCUCCCCGAAAGCUAUUUAGGUAGCGCCUCGUGAAUUCAUCUCCGGGGGUAGAGCACUGUUUCGGCAAGGGGGUCAUCCCGACUUACCAACCCGAUGCAAACUGCGAAUACCGGAGAAUGUUAUCACGGGAGACACACGGCGGGUGCUAACGUCCGUCGUGAAGAGGGAAACAACCCAGACCGCCAGCUAAGGUCCCAAAGUCAUGGUUAAGUGGGAAACGAUGUGGGAAGGCCCAGACAGCCAGGAUGUUGGCUUAGAAGCAGCCAUCAUUUAAAGAAAGCGUAAUAGCUCACUGGUCGAGUCGGCCUGCGCGGAAGAUGUAACGGGGCUAAACCAUGCACCGAAGCUGCGGCAGCGACACUAUGUGUUGUUGGGUAGGGGAGCGUUCUGUAAGCCUGUGAAGGUGGCCUGUGAGGGUUGCUGGAGGUAUCAGAAGUGCGAAUGCUGACAUAAGUAACGAUAAAGCGGGUGAAAAGCCCGCUCGCCGGAAGACCAAGGGUUCCUGUCCAACGUUAAUCGGGGCAGGGUGAGUCGACCCCUAAGGCGAGGCCGAAAGGCGUAGUCGAUGGGAAACAGGUUAAUAUUCCUGUACUUGGUGUUACUGCGAAGGGGGGACGGAGAAGGCUAUGUUGGCCGGGCGACGGUUGUCCCGGUUUAAGCGUGUAGGCUGGUUUUCCAGGCAAAUCCGGAAAAUCAAGGCUGAGGCGUGAUGACGAGGCACUACGGUGCUGAAGUAACAAAUGCCCUGCUUCCAGGAAAAGCCUCUAAGCAUCAGGUAACAUCAAAUCGUACCCCAAACCGACACAGGUGGUCAGGUAGAGAAUACCAAGGCGCUUGAGAGAACUCGGGUGAAGGAACUAGGCAAAAUGGUGCCGUAACUUCGGGAGAAGGCACGCUGAUAUGUAGGUGAAGCGACUUGCUCGUGGAGCUGAAAUCAGUCGAAGAUACCAGCUGGCUGCAACUGUUUAUUAAAAACACAGCACUGUGCAAACACGAAAGUGGACGUAUACGGUGUGACGCCUGCCCGGUGCCGGAAGGUUAAUUGAUGGGGUUAGCGGUAACGCGAAGCUCUUGAUCGAAGCCCCGGUAAACGGCGGCCGUAACUAUAACGGUCCUAAGGUAGCGAAAUUCCUUGUCGGGUAAGUUCCGACCUGCACGAAUGGCGUAAUGAUGGCCAGGCUGUCUCCACCCGAGACUCAGUGAAAUUGAACUCGCUGUGAAGAUGCAGUGUACCCGCGGCAAGACGGAAAGACCCCGUGAACCUUUACUAUAGCUUGACACUGAACAUUGAGCCUUGAUGUGUAGGAUAGGUGGGAGGCUUUGAAGUGUGGACGCCAGUCUGCAUGGAGCCGACCUUGAAAUACCACCCUUUAAUGUUUGAUGUUCUAACGUUGGCCCGUAAUCCGGGUUGCGGACAGUGUCUGGUGGGUAGUUUGACUGGGGCGGUCUCCUCCUAAAGAGUAACGGAGGAGCACGAAGGUUGGCUAAUCCUGGUCGGACAUCAGGAGGUUAGUGCAAUGGCAUAAGCCAGCUUGACUGCGAGCGUGACGGCGCGAGCAGGUGCGAAAGCAGGUCAUAGUGAUCCGGUGGUUCUGAAUGGAAGGGCCAUCGCUCAACGGAUAAAAGGUACUCCGGGGAUAACAGGCUGAUACCGCCCAAGAGUUCAUAUCGACGGCGGUGUUUGGCACCUCGAUGUCGGCUCAUCACAUCCUGGGGCUGAAGUAGGUCCCAAGGGUAUGGCUGUUCGCCAUUUAAAGUGGUACGCGAGCUGGGUUUAGAACGUCGUGAGACAGUUCGGUCCCUAUCUGCCGUGGGCGCUGGAGAACUGAGGGGGGCUGCUCCUAGUACGAGAGGACCGGAGUGGACGCAUCACUGGUGUUCGGGUUGUCAUGCCAAUGGCACUGCCCGGUAGCUAAAUGCGGAAGAGAUAAGUGCUGAAAGCAUCUAAGCACGAAACUUGCCCCGAGAUGAGUUCUCCCUGACUCCUUGAGAGUCCUGAAGGAACGUUGAAGACGACGACGUUGAUAGGCCGGGUGUGUAAGCGCAGCGAUGCGUUGAGCUAACCGGUACUAAUGAACCGUGAGGCUUAACCUU